UACGUAGGGUGCGAGCGUUAAUCGGAAUUACUGGGCGUAAAGCGUGCGCAGGCGGUUGGUUAAGUCUGAUGUGAAAGCCCCGAGCUCAACUUGGGAAUGGCAUUGGAAACUGGCUGGCUAGAGUGUGGCAGAGGGGGGUGGAAUUCCGCGUGUAGCAGUGAAAUGCGUAGAGAUGCGGAGGAACACCGAUGGCGAAGGCAGCCCCCUGGGCUAGCACUGACGCUCAGGCACGAAAGCGUGGGGAGCAAACAGG
rnacentral:rRNA from 1 species